AUUGAACGCUGGCGGCAGGCUUAACACAUGCAAGUCGAACGAGUGGCGGACGGGUGAGUAAUGCUUGGGAAUCUAGCUUAUGGAGGGGGAUAACUACGGGAAACUGUAGCUAAUACUGCGUACCAUAGGAUGAGCCCAAGUGGGAUUAGCUAGUAGGUGGGGUAAAGGCUCACCUAGGCGACGAUCUCUAGCUGGUCUGAGAGGAUGAUCAGCCACACUGGGACUGAGACACGGCCCAGACUCCUACGUGAGGCAGCAGUGGGUAAUUUUGCACAAUGGGCGCAAGCCUGAUGCAGCCAUGCCGCGUGUAUGAAGAAUGCCUUAGAGUUGUAGAGUACUUUCAGCGGGGAGGCGUUACCCGCAGAAGAAGCACCGGCUAACUCCGUGCCAGCAGCCGCGGUAAUAC
rnacentral:rRNA from 1 species